rnacentral:lncRNA from 1 species
CCUACACCUGUAACAGAAUCUGCAGCCAAAGCAGCAAGCAGGCUUACAGUUGUACUUUGAAGCUCUGGCUUAUGCAGGGUAACAGUGAUUACAACAGGCACUGAACAGACUCAUUCCAAGCCUCUCCGGGCUUUCUCCUCUGUUCUUUAGGGGAUGGAGAGUUUCAAAGCACAUUUCCGAGAUUCCUUUGCAGUAGAGCUACAGCCCAAAGCAAACCCAGUUCCUCAGGAGAGUUCUCUGUGCAGCAGGCAAGAUAAAGGAGUGAUGCUUCAGGCUCCACUGGACCACUUGAGAAACUUCUGCAUGUGGGGCUGCAGAAGGGCCAGGAAUUCACAUGCUGGCAGAGAGAUACCUGGGCUGCUGAAGCCUGUCUUCACUUGCAAGCCUUGAAGACACAGGAUCUUAAACCUGCUCCCUCCAGGGAAGAUUCUCCAGCACCCGAAAGACACAUCUUGGAGAGUGUGUUUGCGAUGAGCAUGUUCAUAUUUGUGAGAAUAAAUCAUGAGUGGACGUGAAGAAUAAUGUGGAACUCUAACUGUAAGGAGAGAGAGGAGAGCAGAAAGCACAGGUGUGUGCCCAGCAUGCCAUUUCACAAGCACCUGUUUACUGCAACAAAUGUCCUGUUUGACAAUAGGGAUAUAAAGCUGGGCAAAGAAACUAAGCCUCUUUCUUGUUUUAAAGGGAUUUUACAGAUCCCAACUAUAGUUUACAGGUAGAGCAGUUGCCUGUGUGAGGGACUAAGUUCUGUUCAAUC